GAUCUCCUCAGCGAACCCUAACUCCUCCGCCGCCGCUCGCCCUCUCGCCGCCGCCUCCGCCUCUGCUCGCCCUCGCGCCGCCGCCUCCGCCUCUGCUCGCCCUGGCGCCGCCGCCUCCGCCUCUGCUCGCCCUCGCGCCGCCGCCUCCGCCUCUUCCUCCACGCCCCCUUGGUUCUCAUCAGGAAGACCGUGGCUCGGCGCCGGCCCUCGCGAGUGAGGUAGGACGCGCGCAGGAGGGAGCGGCGGAGGAAGGUGGGGCCGGUGGUCUCUGUCAAUCUGUUGUUGUGUGGUUGCUAUUGUGGUCAUCGAUUUGCAGAUUCGUCUGCUGUUGCCGGUGCCUCCUUUGAUCUGACCCGGUUGUGUCUUCGUUCAUGGAUCUACGGUUAACCCCUCUUCUUCUCCUCCUUUGGUCCUCUCAUGUUAGAGUGCUAGGCAUACGGCGGCAUGGCCAAGUGUUGUGUGUUUGGCCAGCAUGGGCCAUUUGUUGUUUGUCCUGCCUCUGGUAAAGGCCAAAGGUCUUUUCCUCUUUGUCUGGUCUGGUAGUGCCUGCAAUUGGUGCUUCUCCCUUCGUGGAGUAUUUGUGUUUCGUUGCUUUUAGUCUAGCUAGGUUCCAAGGAAGGGGACAUUUAGGCUUUUAUUGUUUUGCUGAUAUGAGGAGACAUGGCCGGAAGCACCAGCGAACCACACCAAUAGUACCUCUCGUUAGCUCACAAACACCAAUCGUAUAGUACCUCCGUAGUAUACUCUACUUUGGAUGUUUUAAUAUCUUGUCUGCACUCUGCACUUGAUAAUCUAUAGAUUUAGAUACUUGAUGUUAUAUAUUUUUCUCUGGUCUCCUGAAUGUUGGUGCUGAUUAAUACGUAGUAUUAAAUGUAUGCAUCUUUCUCAUUCUGAAAGUUUCCCAGCUUUCCUGACCAUCAAAUGUCUAUUCACCAUUGUUACUCUUGCCUGGAGUAGUCUGUUACACUUAUCAGGCCUAGGCAGGUCAUUCACACUACCGAAAAGUUUGGUUUCAGUAAGACUUAAUCUGGUAACCUAUUUUGUCUUUCCCUUCUUCGCGGUUUGGGAGAGAUACCGCAGAGAAGACCACCAGAGAAACGGUCGUCCCGGACCCAGACUAUCAUCGCUAUACUUGGUGAGCUCUAGAGGGAUAUCUGGUGUGUCUGCAUAUGCAUAAAAUCUUCUUGCCGCUGCACCUGUUGACCUACUGGGGCUGCUUCUCUUGUUUCAGGAUUGCAAAAAGGUGUCGGCUUGAGAUUGACCACAUCUGUUGUAUCUACCUGGAGGCCGGCUCUCUCAGUUCACUCAAGAGCAUCUUUGUUCCGCUGUAGAUGAAAACGUAAGAUGCCAGAGCCACGACGUGAGUGCAUCUGCUUCCCCUUAGGAGAACAUGGUCUGAUGAAAGGAGGGUGAUGAAUGCGCCAUGGGGCAAGUCACCUGGAUUGUGUUAUGUUGGAGGGUGAUGAAUGUGCCAUGAGGCAAGUCCGUCUGAUGAAAGGUGUGGACGGAAGAGGGACAAUAACUACGGGGUUGGUGAAAGGUUGAAAGAAAGCUCUUAUGUGUCUUUGGUCUCGACACCACAUGUAGGUAGCCGUCGUUGAUAAUCCAAACUUUGAAAAGUUUAUUUCAAGGUUCAUAACUCUGUUGUCAAUGGGGAAAAUGUUAUCUGCUUCAAGUGAUGUGGCGUAUAAAAGGUCGAACGUCAAGACGAUCAGGUGGAUGUAUCCAAAAAUAUGCUUUUGUGGAACUAUAUAGGUUCUUUGUCUCACAUUGCCGUUGUGGCUUGCUUUUCCUGUAUGAAAAGUACACUAUCUGUAUCGAACUUGAUGUGGAUUGAUCGACCUUGCUUGCUUUUGGCACAAGUAUAUAUUUCCAUUUCCUAUGAACUUCCAGAUGAA